rnacentral:rRNA from 1 species
AUUGAACGCUGGCGGCAGGCCUAACACAUGCACGUCGGGCGAUCGGCGGACGGGUGAGUAAUGUAUGGGGAUCUGCCUGCUUGCGGGGGCUACCUCCUGGAAACGGUAGCUAAUACCGCAUACCAUCAGAUGCACCCAUAUGGGAUUAGCUUGUAGGUGAGGUAACGGCUCACCUAGGCGACGAUCCCUCGCUGGUCUGAGAGGAUGCUAAGCAAAACUGUGACUGAGACACGGCCCAGACUCCUACGGGAGGCAGCAGGGGGGAAGAGUGCACAAUGGGCGCAAGCCUGAUGCAGCCAUGCCGCGUGUAUGAAGAAGGCCUUCGGGUUGUAAAGUACUUGCAGUCGGGAGGCGUUACCGACAGAAGAAGCACCGGCUAACUCCGUGCCAGCAGCCGCGGUAAUUC